GCCGGGCGCGGUGGCUCACGCCUGUAAUCCCAGCACUUUUGGAGGCAGAGGCGGGUGGAUCACCUGAGGUCAGGAGUUUAAGACCAGCCUGGCCAACAUGGUGAAACCUCGUCUCUA
rnacentral:SRP_RNA from 2 species